rnacentral:rRNA from 1 species
AGAGUUUGAUCCUGGCUCAGAACGAACGCUGGCGGCGUGCUUAACACAUGCAAGUCGAGUGCGCGUCCGUAGCAAUACGGAUGGCGCACGGCGCACGGGUGCGUAACACGUGGGCAAUCUGCCCUCCGAUGGGGAAUAACUCCGGGAAACCGAAGCUAAUUCCGCAUAACAUUCCCCGAACUCCGGUUUGGGGACUCAAAGCAGUGAUGCGUCGGAGGAGGAGCCCGCGCCCGAUUAGCUAGUUGGCAGGGUAACGGCCUACCAAGGCUAUGAUCGGUAGCUGGUCUGAGAGGAUGGCCAGCCACACUGGAACUGAGACACGGUCCAGACUCCUACGGGUGGCAGCAGUCGAGAAUUUUUCUCAAUGGGGGAAACCCUGAAGGAGCGACGCCGCGUGGAGGAUGAAGGUCUUCGGGUUGUAAACUCCUGUCAUUUGGGAACAAUGCUUACGUAUUAACUGUACGUGAGUUGAUAGUACCAGAAGAGGAAGAGACGGCUAACUCUGUGCCAGCAGCCGCGGUAAUACAGAGGUCUCAAGCGUUGUUCGGAUUCAUUGGGCGUAAAGGGUGCGUAGGCGGCGCGGUAAGUCGGGUGUGAAAUCUUGGAGCUUAACUCCGAAACUGCAUUCGAUACUGCCGUGCUUGAGGACUGGAGAGGAGACUGGAAUUUACGGUGUAGCGGUGAAAUGCGUAGAUAUCGUAAGGAAGACCAGUGGCGAAGGCGGGUCUCUGGACAGUUCCUGACGCUGAGGCACGAACGUCAGGGGAGCAAACGGGAUUAGAUACCCCGGUAGUCCUGACAGUAAACGUGCACGUUUGGUGUGGGAGGAUUCGACCCCUUCUGCGCCGGAGCUAACGCGUUAAACGUGCCGCCUGGGGAGUACGGUCG